rnacentral:sRNA from 1 species
CUAAGCAGCAAGAUGCAGUAAACAACGAAAUCA